AUUUUUUAAAGGGUUGGGAGGGUGACGGCAUCUUCCAUCUUCCAAGAAGACCUUUUCCUGGAUGUCGAUCAUAAACGCCAUAGGAACUGUCGCUCUUCCCUUUUUAAAGAAACCGUAGAACCAUUCCUGGUGUCGUGAGCUUCGUUUUGAACCGAUCACCUCAACGUUCCGAUACUGAUCGGGUUGGAAGAAUUAAGUGAUCCUGUGAGAGUAGAGAACUGUUAGCGGACGAACCAAACACCUUGAGUUAGGACGUUCACUUCUGAUCUAGAUGGGGAGGCGUUACUUGAGGAAACACUAGAAGAAGAAGGUUUGGAGGAUACGAAUCUGGUGGAAGUUGAGGUGAAGUCCGAACAGUAGACGUUCGGUUUGUAUCUUUGCUUUGUAAAUGGGUUGGUCGGGGGCGCUAAGGUCGAGUGUGGUUUUGUAAUUAACUUCUUGUAAGGUCGUUCAGCCUAAACCCUUGCUUUCGUUAA